AGGGAAGAAGAUCCAGACAUAUGCUCACCUGACAAGAAGAGACAUACCCAGAAACAAAGCUGAAAAUGCCAAAACGGCUCUGAGGACCCAGACAAGUAUUGUCAACAAGGAACUGAUUGAGCUACUAACCCAUGAUGCCAGAAACCCUGUGAGGGGUUUGUGAGCUGCAUCUAGGAGCUGCAAGAGAGUGUUCUCAUGAGAAGAUUGGGAGAAUGACUUUUCUGCAUGACUGAGAGAGGAUUCUCCUGACUCAAUUUCCCCACUAUGACACCUGGCAGACUUUAAGCCUGGCUCAAUGCAGUUGGCUAUUAAAUACCUUCUGCCUGUAAUUGACAUGAAGGAUGCCCAGCCUUCUUCCUAAUUCAACAAUGGCUUCAUGGAAUUCAUGAUAUUGAUAUAGAUAACAGGAACCAGCAAAGACUUCAGGAAAAAGUAGUCAAGCCACUUCAUUUCCAUUCCCUCAUCUGCAAAAACUUGGAACCUUAGGAAUUAUCCAAGACAAUACUUCACUUUAUAGAGAUGAGGAAAGUGAGCACAGCUCUUCCAGCCCAAGGAGAAGGUGG